UCCAGUUGAUCGAUGCGUUUUACGAUACGCUCUCAAAGAGUCAAGUUGUUUGGGAUUGCAGCUUAAAAUGGGAGGUAAAUUUCUCCUAAGGCUAAAUAUUGGCGAGAGACCGAUAGCGAACAAGUACCGUGAGGGAAAGAUGAAAAGUACUUUGAAAAGAGAGUUAAAUAGCACGUGAAAUUGUUGAAAGGGAAACGAUUGAAGCCAGUCGUACCGGCGGAUAAUCAGCCUUUCGGGUGCGAUUCUGUGGGGCGUGAGGAGCUUAACCGCCUUCAUGUUUUGCAUAUUCGUGCACAUUUGGUGUACUUGUCCGUGUGGUGGGUUAACAUCAAUUUCGGUCGUCAUAAAAUGAUUGGAGGAAUGUAGCUUUGGUCUCGUAUCGAAGUGUUAUAGACUCUGGUAGAUGUGACGAUUGGGAUUGAGGAUUGCAACGGAUACCCCUUCGGGGCUACUCGUCUGAUCUCUGGAGGUUGCUCCGGUGCCGAAAGCGUGCUUACGGUCAUCGAAAGUGAUUUUCAAAAGGUUAGAACGGGUUAAAUU
rnacentral:rRNA from 1 species